UUAAGUCUACUUUUUGAUGACAUUGGUAGCUAAGCAAAUGAUAUUGUUGUAUAGUUACCCGAAAGAUUCAGAGAAACAUCUUCUUGCUAUACGAAGUGGAUUGACAAGAAGUCAGGUAUCAAACUGGUUUAUAAAUGCGCGUGUAAGACUAUGGAAGCCGAUGAUAGAAGACAUGUACGCAGAAAUGAACAAGCGGAAGAUGAGUAACACUCACCUUCAAGGCGGUAAUGGAGGAAGUGUUAUUAGAGUGCCAAAGUCUGUUAUGAUGAGUCAAGGAAGGGACAAAAUAAGAGAAUGAUUGUGUUACAACUUUUGUUCACGCAAAAUCGCUACUUAUAAUUUGUCAGGGGUUUAAAGUACCUUACUACUUAUUAUGAUUGUUUUUUUUACUUUCUUUUUUGUUAUAAUUGUAUAUACAGCUUGUAUAUUGCUGUUUGGUCA